AGUGAACGCUGGCGGUAGGCCUAACACAUGCAAGUCGAACGGCAGCACAGUAAGAGCUUGCUCUUACGGGUGGCGAGUGGCGGACGGGUGAGGAAUACAUCGGAAUCUACUUUUUCGUGGGGGAUAACGUACGGAAACUUACGCUAAUACCGCAUACGACCUACGGGUGAAAGCAGGGGAUCUUCGGACCUUGCGCGAUUGAAUGAGCCGAUGUCGGAUUAGCUAGUUGGCGGGGUAAAGGCCCACCAAGGCGACGUUCCGUAGCUGGUCUGAGAGGAUGAUCAGCCACACUGGAACUGAGACACGGUCCAGACUCCUACGGGAGGCAGCAGUGGGGAAUAUUGGACAAUGGGCGCAAGCCUGAUCCAGCCAUACCGCGUGGGUGAAGAAGGCCUUCGGGUUGUAAAGCCCUUUUGUUGGGAAAGAAAAGCAGCAGGUUAAUACCCCGCUGUUCUGACGGUACCCAAAGAAUAAGCACCGGCUAACUUCGUG
rnacentral:rRNA from 1 species